CGAGGCUCAUGGAACGAUCUGUGACCUCCUGCAGCAAUGCAGGAUGGAAAAACUCCCGAACUUGCUGGGAACCCGUGAGAGCCCCUGUUGCCACAGCGUGGUCCGCAAGGACGAGCGCGACGGCUUGAAAAAAUAGGGGAUUCGGCAAUCAGCAGCCAAGCUCCGAAAUCCGGAGAAGGUUCAGAGACUAUAAUGGGAGCUCCCCGUCGGGGGAGAUGGUAUAGUCCAUUCCUUUCAGAAAUGAGAAG
rnacentral:ncRNA from 1 species